GGUGAACGCUGGCGGUAGGCCUAACACAUGCAAGUCGAACGGCAGCACAGUAAGAGCUUGCUCUUACGGGUGGCGAGUGGCGGACGGGUGAGGAAUACAUCGGAAUCUACUUUUUCGUGGGGGAUAACGUAGGGAAACUUACGCUAAUACCGCAUACGACCUACGGGUGAAAGCAGGGGAUCUUCGGACCUUGCGCGAUUGAAUGAGCCGAUGUCGGAUUAGCUAGUUGGCGGGGUAAAGGCCCACCAAGGCGACGAUCCGUAGCUGGUCUGAGAGGAUGAUCAGCCACACUGGAACUGAGACACGGUACAGACUCCUACGGGAGGAAGCAGUGGGGAAUAUUGGACAAUGGGCGCAAGCCUGAUCCAGCCAUACCGCGUGGGUGAAGAAGGCCUUCGGGUUGUAAAGCCCUUUUGUUGGGAAAGAAAAGCAGCAGGUUAAUACCCCGCUGUUCUGACGGUACCCAAAGAAUAAGCACCGGCUAACUUCGUG
rnacentral:rRNA from 1 species